AACGCUGUUCGCAAAGCGUCUACCAUAUUGAUGCUUGGUGAGAGAAAAUAAAGGGACGAAAUGCCUAUUAUUCCCGAAGUGAUUAUUCCGCAAGAGGGAUUUUACUUAUACAUACAAAAAUACACGCACGAGAAUUUAAUUGGCACAUAUAUAUGGACACAUGUGGACACGCAGAGGGAGAAAGAGAAUAAUGAAUGGGUUAUAAAGGAUGAUCCAUAGAGAGAUUCACCUUUCGCCUGGAUGACUGCUUUAUUCCCUUUCAUAACUUCGCUGAUUUCAAUUGAUUAUAUCCUCCAAUUAAAGCUGCUCAUCUUCGGAUCCUUUGUAAGAGUUAUUCUACCUCCUCACUCUACCGUUCGAGUAUUCUUUCGAAUAGACAGCGCCAUAUUAAUCUCGUUGAUAUAAAAAUUCAUUUUCUCUCUAUCUGUAUCUUUCUCGACUCUCUCGACCGUAUAAUAAGAAAAUACAGAUUAAUCUUUUUAAAAUAAAGUAAUAAAGUAAAAUAUGUCGA